UUUUUGGAGAGUUUGAUCCUGGCUCAGGACGAACGCUGGCGGCGUGCCUAAUACAUGCAAGUCGAGCGAAUCUGAUGGGAGCUUGCUCCCUGAUGAUUAGCGGCGGACGGGUGAGUAACACGUGGGUAACCUGCCUGUAAGACUGGGAUAACUCCGGGAAACCGGGGCUAAUACCGGAUAACUUUUUUCUUCGCAUGAGGGAGAAUUGAAAGAUGGCUUCGGCUAUCACUUACAGAUGGACCCGCGGCGCAUUAGCUAGUUGGUGAGGUAACGGCUCACCAAGGCGACGAUGCGUAGCCGACUUGAGAGGGUGAUCGGCCCCACUGGGACUGAGACACGGCCCAGACUCCUACGGGAGGCAGCAGUAGGGAAUCUUCCGCAAUGGACGAACGUCUGACGGAGCCACGCCGCGUGAGUGAUGAAGGUUUUCGGAUCGU
rnacentral:rRNA from 2 species